CUUGGUGGUAAGAGCGAGGUGGACCCACCCGUUCCCAUCCCGAACACGGAAGUGAAACGCCUCAGCGCCCACGAUACUGUUCUCUCAAAGGAAUGGGAAAAUAGGCCACUGCCAGGG
rnacentral:rRNA from 1 species